rnacentral:rRNA from 1 species
CCUACGGGUGGCUGCAGUGAGGAAUAUUGGUCAAUGGGCGCGAGCCUGAACCAGCCAAGUCGCGUGAAGGAUGACUGCCCUACGGGUUGUAAACUUCUUUUAUAGAGGAAUAAAGUGAGGCACGUGUGCCUUUUUGUAUGUACUUUAUGAAUAAGGAUCGGCUAACUCCGUGCCAGCAGCCGCGGUAAUACGGAGGAUCCGAGCGUUAUCCGGAUUUAUUGGGUUUAAAGGGAGCGUAGAGGGGUUGGUAAGUCAGUUGUGAAAGUUUGCGGCUCAACCGUAAAAUUGCAAUUGAUACUGGCAGGCUUGAGUACAGGUGAGGUAGGCGGAAUUCGUGGUGUAGCGGUGAAAUGCUUAGAUAUCACGAAGAACUCCGAUUGCGAAGGCAGCUUACUAAACUGCCACUGACGUUGAGGCUCGAAAGUGUGGGUAUCAAACAGGAUUAGAUACCCUGGUAGUC